UACGUAGGGUGCGAGCGUUAAUCGGAAUACUGGGCGUAAAGCGUGCGCAGGCGGUCUGUUAAGACCGAUGUGAAAUCCCCGGGCUUAACCUGGGAACUGCAUUGGUGACUGGCAGGCUUUGAGUGUGGCAGAGGGAGGUAGAAUUCCACGUGUAGCAGUGAAAUGCGUAGAGAUGUGGAGGAAUACCGAUGGCGAAGGCAGCCGUCCUCGGCGAACACUGACGCUCAUGCACGAAAGCGUGGGGAGCAAACGG
rnacentral:rRNA from 1 species